rnacentral:rRNA from 1 species
UCGAGAAUAAUUCGCAAUGGGCGAAAGCCUGACGAUGCGACGCCGCGUGAACGAUGAAGGCCUUCGGGUUGUAACGUUCUGUUGUCCUGGAACAAGAGUGAUCGUCGAAUAGGCGGCCACGAUGAGGGUACAGGAAGAGGAAGCACCGGCUAAUUCCGUGCCAGCAGCCGCGGUAAUACGGGGGGUGCGAGCGUUGUUCGGAAUUAUUGGGCGUAAAGAGCGUGUAGGCGGCUGAAUAAGUCAGAUGUGAAAUCCCUGGGCUUAACCCAGGACGUGCAUUUGAAACUAUUCGGCUAGAGUAGGGGAGAGGAAAUUGGAAUUCCUGGUGUAGAGGUGAAAUUCGUAGAUAUCAGGAGGAACGCCAGUGGCGAAGGCGGCUUUCUGGACUGUAACUGACGCUGAGGCACGAGAGCGUUGGGAGCAAAGA